GUGUAGCUGAGCAGGCCUGGGGCUUGGUUCUAUGUCCCUGUGGCUAUGUUUCCAGUGUCCUCUGGGUGUUUCCAAGAGCAACAAGAAACGAAUAAAUCUCUGGUGAGUUGUUUAUUUGUUCUUCACUUUGUUUUACACUGUAUUUUCUGAGUUUAUGGGUGUCUGUGAAUUAAAAAGGAAAAGUGGAAAUAAGUAAAACUCAGGUUGAAGGAAAUAUACAUAAAUAAGAUAAAGCUGACCUGUAGAUAUAGACAGGUUAUAAAAGCUUAGAGUUGUCUAAGUUGAGUGCAAAGUUUCCUCUGAUCUUUCUGAUGCCGAAACAAAAAAGGCAGUCAUGUUUGUUACGUGAUUGGAAUGGAACCCGAAAAGAGAGCACGCUGUAUUCUUGUGGGACAGGAAAGCUUGUGUGCACCAAGUCUUAACCACCACCUUCAUUGGUGACAUAGAUUAUGUGCUGGAACAUAUUUCACACCGGUCUGGCAGUAAGCACUUGUAGUGUUGUGCAGUGGAAACAGUCAUCUUCCGCUAAGGCAUGACGUGUUGUGCAGUGGAAAUGGUCAUCUUCCGCUAAAGCAUGGCGUGUUGUGCAGUGGAAAUGGUCAUCUGACGCUAAAGCACAGCAUGUUGUACAGUGGAAAUGGUCAUCGUCUGCUAAAGCACGGCGUGUUGUGCAGUGGAAAUGGUCAUCUGCUGCUAAAGCACAGCUUCCAUCAUAAGGUAUGCUCCUUGCUCAAAGAGUGUGGUCCCAAACAGCUUUUGGGAGGUCCUCCUUGACUCAUGGAUGAAACCCGGAACAUCUUGAGGACUGAGUUAACCACAGGUCCUUAAAUAACUCUC
rnacentral:lncRNA from 1 species